rnacentral:rRNA from 1 species
UGAACGCUGGCGGCGUGCCUAAUACAUGCAAGUCGAGCGAAUGGAUUAAGAGCUUGCUCUUAUGAAGUUAGCGGCGGACGGGUGAGUAACACGUGGGUAACCUGCCCAUAAGACUGGGAUAACUCCGGGAAACCGGGGCUAAUACCGGAUAACAUUUUGAACCGCAUGGUUCGAAAUUGAAAGGCGGCUUCGGCUGUCACUUAUGGAUGGACCCGCGUCGCAUUAGCUAGUUGGUGAGGUAACGGCUCACCAAGGCAACGAUGCGUAGCCGACCUGAGAGGGUGAUCGGCCACACUGGGACUGAGACACGGCCCAGACUCCUACGGGAGGCAGCAGUAGGGAAUCUUCCGCAAUGGACGAAAGUCUGACGGAGCAACGCCGCGUGAGUGAUGAAGGCUUUCGGGUCGUAAAACUCUGUUGUUAGGGAAGAACAAGUGCUAGUUGAAUAAGCUGGCACCUUGACGGUACCUAACCAGAAAGCCACGGCUAAC